rnacentral:rRNA from 1 species
AGAUUGAACGCUGGCGGCAUGCCUUACACAUGCAAGUCGAACGGUAGAGUAGCAAUACUUGAGAGUGGCGAACGGGUGAGUAAUAUAUCGGAACGUGCCCAGUCGUGGGGGAUAACGUAGAGAAAUUUACGCUAAUACCGCAUACGAUCUAAGGAUGAAAGCGGGGGACCGUAAGGCCUCGCGCGAUUGGAGCGGCUGAUAUCAGAUUAGGUUGUUGGUGAAGGUAAAAGCUCACCAAGGCGACGAUCUGUAGCUGGUUUGAGAGAACGACCAGCCACACUGGGACUGAGACACGGCCCAGACUCCGUACGGGAGGCAGCGAGUAGGGGUAAUUUGGACAAGUGGGACGAAAGCCUAGACUCCAGACAAUCGGCCGCGUGACGAAGGAAGAACGGUCCGUUCGGGUUACGUAAACGUCGUUCGUUUUACGGUACGGACGUACGGAAAACGGU